UACGUAGGGUCCAAGCGUUGUCCGGAUUUAUUGGGCGUAAAGAGCUCGUAGGCGGUUUCGUAAGUCGGAUGUGAAAACUCAGGGCUCAACCCGGAGACGCCAUCUGAUACUGCGAUGACUUGAGUCUGGUAGGGGAACACGGAAUUCCUGGUGUAGCGGUGAAAUGCGCAGAUAUCAGGAGGAACACCGAUGGCGAAGGCAGAUCUCUGGGCCGUAACUGACGCUGAGGAGCGAAAGCAUGGGGAGCGAACAGG
rnacentral:rRNA from 1 species